rnacentral:rRNA from 1 species
GUAGGUGGCAAGCGUUGUCCGGAAUUAUUGGGCGUAAAGCGCGCGCAGGGCGGUCCUUUAAGUCUGAUGUGAAAGCCCACGGCUCAACCGUGGAGGGUCAUUGGAAACUGGGGGACUUGAGUACAGAAGAGGAAAGCGGAAUUCCAAGUGUAGCGGUGAAAUGCGCAGAGAUUUGGAGGAACACCAGUGGCGAAGGCGGCUUUCUGGUCUGUAACUGACGCUGAGGCGCGAAAGCGUGGGGAGCAAACAGGAUUAGAUACCCUGGUAGUCCACGCCGUAAACGAUGAGUGCUAAGUGUUAGGGGGUUUCCGCCCCUUAGUGCUGCAGCUAACGCAUUAAGCACUCCGCCUGGGGAGUACGGCCGCAAAGGCUG